UUGAAGUCGAAACCGACAGACCGAGUCACUCGGAGGAACUCCUUGAGUCGAACGGCAGAUCUCGUGUCCCUAGGGUUCCAAAGCCACCGCCGAGGCCUUCGUUAUCUUCGUCAACUUCAUGUACAGAGAAGCAAAUCCCUCCUCCUCCUCCGCCGCCGGCAGUGAAGCAAGUUGCACCGCCUCCUCCACCACAUUCGUUACUCAAAGCUAUAGCUCCGCCACCACCUCCGCCGCCUCAGAAGGGGAUGAAGACGGUUGCGGCGAAAGUGAGGAGAGUUCCGGAGGUUGUGGAGUUUUAUCACUCGAUUAUGCGGAGGGAU
rnacentral:lncRNA from 1 species